CGGUGGAGGCAUGUGGUUUAAUUCGAUGAUACGCGAAGAACCUUACCUGGUCUUGACAUCCCGGAGACCCUUAGGAAACUAGGGGGUACUUCCAUCUGGAAGAAUCUGGAGACAGGUGCUGCAUGGCUGUCGUCAGCUCGUGUCGUGAGAUGUUGGGUUAAGUCCCGCAACGAGCGCAACCCUUGCCUUUAGUUGCCAGCAGUUCGGCUGGGCACUCUAAAGGGACUGCCGGUGUUAAACCGGAGGAAGGUGGGGAUGACGUCAAGUCCUUAUGGCCUUUAUGACCAGGGCUACACACGUACUACAAUGGCCGAUACAAAGGGCAGCGACACUGCGAGGUGAAGCCAAUCCCGUAAAAUCGGUCUCAGUCCGGAUUGGAGUCUGCAACUCGACUCCAUGAAGUUGGAAUCGCUAGUAAUCGUGAAUCAGAAUGUCACGGUGAAUACGUUCCCGGGCCUU
rnacentral:rRNA from 1 species